UCUCCGUAGGUGAACCUGCGGAGGGAUCAUUACUGAGUGAGGGCUCACGCCCGACCUCCAACCCUUUGUGAACACAUCUUGUUGCUUCGGGGGCGACCCUGCCGGCACUCGGUCGCCGGGCGACCCCGGAGGUGCACCCAACUCUGCAUCUUUGCGUCGGAGUAUUGAAAGCAAAUCAAUCAAAACUUUCAACAACGGAUCUCUUGGUUCUGGCAUCGAUGAAGAACGCAGC
rnacentral:misc_RNA from 1 species